rnacentral:tRNA from 3 species
GCCGAAGUGGCGGAACUGGAAGACGCGCUGUCUUGAGGGGGCAGUGCCCAUUAGGGCGUGUGGGUUCGACUCCCACCUUCGGCACCA